ACGGGAGGCAGCAGUGGGGAAUAUUGCACAAUGGGGGAAACCCUGAUGCAGCGACGCCGCGUGAACGAUGAAGUAUUUCGGUAUGUAAAGUUCUAUCAGCAGGGAAGAUAAUGACGGUACCUAACUAAGAAGCACCGGCUAAAUACGUGCCAGCAGCCGCGGUAAUACGUAUGGUGCAAGCGUUAUCCGGAUUUACUGGGUGUAAAGGGAGUGUAGGUGGUUUGGCAAGCCAGAAGUGAAAACCCGGGGCUCAACCCCGUGGAUUGCUUUUGGAACUGUUAGACUAGAGUGCAGGAGGGGUAAGCGGAAUUCCCAGUGUAGCGGUGAAAUGCGUAGAUAUUGGGAAGAACACCAGUGGCGAAGGCGACUUACUGGACUGUAACUGACACUGAGGCUCGAAAGCGUGGGGAGCAAACAGGAUUAGAUACCCUGGUA
rnacentral:rRNA from 1 species